UGGUCAACACUGGUUAAUUAGUUGUUAAACCGGUUAAAUAUAAUAUUUACAAAAUACUAUAGCCAUAUUCUAACGUAGCUAUAUAACUAUAUUCUAACGGUUACGCAUUUAAGACGAAACGCUCUUCACUGGCGGAGAUAGUUUCGAACGCCCGCCAUUUUUGUCGAAAUAAUGCGCCAAAUAAACUGAUGUCUUGUUUCGUUUAUUUAAGCCAACCCAAAGGAGCUAACAAAUAAAUCAUCAGUCCUCAAACGAAUCAACCAGUGAAGGAGAAAAACAUUCAAAGCCGUAAAUUGUCAAAUCCAUCAGUUGGAAGAUGGAUGUCAAAGUCUUAGACAACGAAAGGCUUCCAGAGUUAAGAAAAGACCACUUCAACAAAAACAAUCAUGCAAAGAAUGACUGCAAAAAAUCUUUUCGCAGAUGCGUUUCAUCAUCAAGUGUAUAAGGAAAAGGGACCUGGGUACAGAGACUAGAUGUAAAUGUCAAGGACUGAAAUGAGCAAUUCAAUGGUUUCUUACUAAUUGUGUUUAUAUGCGUCAUAAGAAAUUAAAACUGUUAUAAAUGGA